rnacentral:rRNA from 1 species
UUGAACGCUGGCGGCAUGCUUUACACAUGCAAGUCGAACGGUAACAGGGAGCUUGCUCUGCUGACGAGUGGCGAACGGGUGAGUAAUGCAUCGGAACGUACCCAGUCGUGGGGGAUAACGUAGCGAAAGUUUCGCUAAUACCGCAUACGUCCUGAGGGAGAAAGCGGGGGACCGUAAGGCCUCGCGCGAUUGGAGCGGCCGAUGUCGGAUUAGCUAGUUGGUGGGGUAAAGGCCUACCAAGGCGACGAUCCGUAGCGGGUCUUGGAGGAUGAUCCGCCACACUGGGACUGAGACACGGCCCAGACUCCUACGGGAGGCAGCAGUGGGGAAUUUUGGACAAUGGGGGCAACCCUGAUCCAGCCAUGCCGCGUGAGUGAAGAAGGCCUUCGGGUUGUAAAGCUCUUUCAGCCGGAACGAAACGGUACGCUCUAACAUAGCGUGCUAAUGACGGUACCGGCAGAAGAAGCACCGGCUAACUACGU